UGUCUCCCACAAAUGUGAAGAAGUAAUGCAAUCUCUCUAGUAGUUCUAUCUUCAUCGUAUGCCACGUUCUGAAAUCGUAUUUUGUUCCUCGACUUCCAUAUUAAAGCUACGACAUGUACAAAAGCAGCAGCAAUGAUAGCAUUUCACCAUGCACGACUACGAGUUUUACUGCAUAUCCAUUCCAGUUCACUGUCCCAGUCAAGGAUCUGUCUCGAACUGCCCAGCCAACAACAAAUUCUAGACCAUAAACUCUUAGUAACGCAACAUUUGAAAUAUAGGUGCUGGAAGGUUUCCACCUGUUGAUUGCAAAACACACACAGCGAAGGAAUUUGAAUACCAUAGUUGGCUAAUCUAUCCACAGUAGGUAACCUUCUUUGGGCAGCCAGCCAAGCAAUAAAUUUAUGUCGAGGCAGG
rnacentral:lncRNA from 1 species